rnacentral:tRNA from 1 species
CAAAGAGUAGUUUGAAGUAAGAAUCCUAGCCUUGGGAGUUGGGGGUGGGAGUUAAAGUCUCCCUUCUUUGA